GCUUCUUUCCCCCUCCGUACUGAUGUAGAGCACAGUGUGUUCUUUCCACUUGGUGGUGACAUGUUCUUUCAGCAACAUACGGCAAAAGAAAUCCCCCAUAAACCUUUCAGAAGCGUCUGUACUUACUUCUAUGUUUAGCAGCUAUAUUAAUCAGAAGAGAAAACUAAAACUCAGGAACUCAAAGACUUUUGAUACACAGUGAAUUAACAGGGCUUGGCAUGCUGUUUCAGCAGCUCCACCAGCAGUCACAAUCAAGCACGCCCUCACUCCAGCACAGGACUGCUGUCUUGACAACUGCCCAUGGCCCUCAUGAAGGCUGUCUGCAUCCAUUCUGACACCUUGGAGGCUCUUGGGAAGACACACUGCAUGUCUGCUCACAAAACUGCUUUCCUGCAGUGCAAGCAAGUUUGGUCUCAGUAACAGCUUUGAGCUCACACUUUGGAGGGUUAGAACAUAUUCAGAAAUGGCUCUCCCCAAAAUACAGUGUAAGGAACAGUCA